rnacentral:rRNA from 1 species
AUCUUGCGCAAUGGCCGAAAGGCUGACGCAGCGACGCCGCGUGUGGGAGGAAGCUCUUCGGGGUGUAAACCACUGUUGCCCGGGACGAACAGCACUAUUCGUAGUGCCUGACGGUACCGGGUGAGGAAGCACCGGCUAACUCUGUGCCAGCAGCCGCGGUAAUACGUAGGGAGCGAGCGUUGUCCGGAUUUAUUGGGCGUAAAGCGCGCGUAGGCGGUUUGGUAAGCCGGGUGUGAAACCCUCGAGCUCAACUCGGGGCGGCCACUCGGAACUGCUAUGACUUGAGUCUGGUAGGGGAACACGGAAUACCUGGUGUAGCGGUGAAAUGCUUAGAUAUCAGGUGGAACACCAGUGGCGAAGGCGGUGUUCUGGGCCAGUACUGACGCUGAGGCGCGAAAGCGUGGGGAGCGAAC